rnacentral:rRNA from 1 species
AUUGAACGCUGGCGGCAGGCCUAACACAUGCAAGUCGAACGCGUGGCGGACGGGUGAGUAAUGUCUGGGAAACUGCCAGAUGGAGGGGGAUAACUACUGGAAACGGUAGCUAAUACCGCAUACCAUCGGAUGUGCCCAGAUGGUAUUAGCUAAUAGGUGGGGUAACGGCUCACCUAGGCGACGCUCCCUAGCUGGUCUGAGAGGAUGACCAGCCACACUGGAACUGAGACACGGGCCAGCCUCCUACGGGAGGCAGCAGUGGGGAAUAUUGCACAAUGGGCGCAAGCCUGAUGCAGCCAUGCCGCGUGUAUGAAGAAGGCCUUCGGGUUGUAAAGUACUUUCAGCGAGGAGGCGUUACUCGCAGAAGAAGCCCCGGCUAACUCCGUGCCAGCAGCCGCGGUAAUAC